rnacentral:rRNA from 1 species
UAGGGAAUCUUCCACAAUGGACGCAAGUCUGAUGGAGCAACGCCGCGUGAGUGAAGAAGGUCUUCGGAUCGUAAAACUCUGUUGUAAGAGAAGAACGUGUGUGAGAGUGGAAAGUUCACACAGUGACGGUAACUUACCAGAAAGGGACGGCUAACUACGUGCCAGCAG